UACAGAGGGUGCGAGCGUUAAUCGGAAUUACUGGGCGUAAAGCGUGCGUAGGCGGUUAUUUAAGUCGGAUGUGAAAGCCCCGGGCUCAACCUGGGAAUUGCAUUCGAGACUGAAUAGCUAGGGUACGGUAGAGGGAAGUGGAAUUUCCGGUGUAGCGGUGAAAUGCGUAGAUAUCGGAAGGAACACCAGUGGCGAAAGCGACUUCCUGGACCAGUACCGACGUUCAGGCACGAAAGCGUGGGGAGCAAACAGG
rnacentral:rRNA from 1 species